rfam:Picea glauca, whole genome shotgun sequence.
ACAUGCCUACAACAUAGAAUUAAUGCACUGGAUCCCAUUACAAAUUCGGAGUUAAGUGCACUCGGGAUAGAGUAGUAUUGGGAUGGGUGACCGCCCGAGAAAUCCUAGUUUCUUACAUGCC